rnacentral:rRNA from 1 species
CCUACGGGAGGCAGCAGUAAGGAAUAUUGGGCAAUGGAGGCAACUCUGACCCAGCCAUGCCGCGUGAAGGAUGAAGGCCCUAUGGGUUGUAAACUUCUUUUGUAUGGGAAUAAACGCAGUUACGUGUAACUGUUUGAAUGUACCAUAAGAAUAAGCACCGGCUAACUCCGUGCCAGCAGCCGCGGUAAUACGGAGGGUGCAAGCGUUAUCCGGAUUUAUUGGGUUUAAAGGGAGCGUAGGCGGGAUUGUAAGUCAGUGGUGAAAGCCCGUAGCUCAACUACGGAACUGCCAUUGAUACUGCAGACCUAGAGUACACUUGAAGUGGGCGGAAUGUGUCAUGUAGCGGUGAAAUGCUUAGAUAUGACACAGAACACCAAUUGCGAAGGCAGCUCACUAAAUUGUAACUGACGCUGAGGCUCGAUAGCGUGGGGAUCAAACAGGAUUAGAUACCCUGGUAGUCCACGCCGUAAACGAUGAUUACUCGAUGUUGGCGAUACACUGUCAGCGUCUGAGCGAAAGCAUUAAGUAAUCCACCUGGGGAGUACGGUCGCGAAGACUGAAACUCAAAUGAAUUGACGG